GUAGGGUGCAAGCGUUAAUCGGAAUUACUGGGCGUAAAGCGUGCGCAGGCGGCUUUGCAAGACAGAUGUGAAAUCCCCGGGCUCAACCUGGGAACUGCAUUUGUGACUGCAAGGCUAGAGUACGGUAGAGGGGGAUGGAAUUCCGCGUGUAGCAGUGAAAUGCGUAGAUAUGCGGAGGAACACCGAUGGCGAAGGCAAUCCCCUGGACCUGUACUGACGCUCAUGCACGAAAGCGUGGGGAGCAAACAGGAUUAGAUACCCUGGUAGUCCACGCCCUAAACGAUGUCAACUGGUUGUUGGACGGCUUGCUGUUCAGUAACGAAGCUAACGCGUGAAGUUGACCGCCUGGGGAGUACGGCCGCAAGGUUG
rnacentral:rRNA from 1 species